rnacentral:rRNA from 1 species
CAAAAACAUUGCUUUUUGAAGAUUAUAUAAAAAGUAAUUCCUGCCCAGUGAUACGUUCAACGGCCGCGGUAUCCUAACCGUGCAAAGGUAGCAUAAUCACUUGCCCAUUAAUUGUGGACUAGAAUGAAAGGACUAACGAAAUAUAAGCUGUCUCCAUAAGACUAAUAAAAACUAAUCUCCAAAUGAAGAAUAUUGGAUAAAAUUGAAGGACAAGAAGACCCUAUAGAGCUUAAUCUAAAUAAGCAAUUAUAACUUCUAUAAGAUUCGGUUGGGGCGACCAGGGAAUAUAAAUCAUCCCAAAUACCAAGACAUAUUAGUCUAACCUAUGACCCUAAAUAAGAUCACAAGCCAAGCUACCUUAGGGAUAACAGGCUAAUCCUACUAGAGAGUCCUUAUCAAAAGUAGGGUUUGGCACCUCGAUGUUGGCUUAGGGAAUCUAUAUGGCGCAAAAGUCAUAUAAAGAUGGUUUGUUCAACCAAUAAUACCCUACAUGAUCU